GAAAAGUUGACGUUUUCCCAGAGUCGGAUUCACCUACAUCUAAAGUCACGCGGAGAUAAACUGAAGGAUGUGGAGAAAGCGUAACACAAAAAAUGGAGCAGCAAACGUGCUUCGAUUGCCUUCAACGCCGAAUCAAGUCCGAUUUCUCGGACCAACUUCUCUUCUCUUAUGGCCUAUCCGAUUCUGCUCUCCCCUUCGGCUCCUCUGCUGUUGUCCAGAUGCCAAAUUGUAACGGAGAGGCAUCGACUUCAGCUUCUCAGUUCAUAUUGGAGCAAUUGCCGACUGAAGAACGCGAUUGCUUGACUAAAUACAUUGAUGAAUAUAUCACAAAAAAUGUUGAAGACGGUGACAAUCAUAGGGUUGGUGAUAUGUCUUUGUUUGAAGAAGGCCAAGAUCCUGCUAAGGUCAGUGAUCCAAUGGCGAGGUCAAGUACACCAAAAUAUCCAUUAAAUCAAUUUUCUUCUUUGCUGAAUGGUGACAGAAAAAUGUCUGUAAAUUUGAUGGGAUCUGAAAGUUCAACUUGUACACAUUCUAGUAGGUUUGCAUGCUCCCGUACAUUAAGUGCCUUGGCCCCAUUUGCUCAUAUAGGUAUUUGUUCCUCAAAUAUCUUUGAAAUGCUUGCUUCUAACUUUUUGUCUGGCUGUCUGGAAGAUCACAUAUUGUGCUCGCUUAGUCGCUUGAUUGAAGGAAAAGCUUCAGGGCGAGACAGUGUAAAUUUUCUCCAUAUGGUUGGGAUACCAUCAUUUGAUGAGAAUAACAUCCCUGGCUGCCUGAGGCAUCCAAAUAUAGCUCCUAUUCUUGGAUACCUUAAAGCAUCUGGGUAUGUUUAUUCAGUGCUUCCAAAAACUCCAUACAACUUGGACAGUAUUCUACAUUACUGCCCCAACGUCUUAAAGUCUGAGUGGCAUAUAAGGUUUUUGUUGUAUCAGCUACUGUCUGCCCUUGCUUGCUUGCAUGGUUUAGGGGUUUUCCAUGGUAAGAUACAUCCAUCUAAUAUAAUGCUGACUAAUUUGUGCUGGUCUUGGCUGCGCAUUUGUGAUAUGCCAAAAUCAAGAUCUAAUUUGAGUUCUAGAGAAGCUGAAUGCAAACAUUCUGCAGCCACUGCAAGAAUAUGUUGCUGCAUGGAUGGCUAUUCUUCUCAUGGACUCUAUGCAGAUUUGAAGCUUUCCCCGUCUAUAGAUUGGCAUUCACAAUUUCAUCUGUGGUGGAAGGGUGAGUUGAGCAAUUUUGAGUAUCUACUUGUCCUAAACAGAUUGGCUGGGAGAAGGUGGGGAGAUCACACAUUUCAUACUGUAAUGCCAUGGGUAAUAGACUUUAGCACAAAACCUGAUGAGAAUUCUGAUUUAGGGUGGCGAGACUUGAGCAAAAGUAAAUGGCGGUUAGCAAAGGGUGAUGAACAGUUGGACUUCACCUAUGCAACAUCUGAAAUACCUCAUCAUGUAUCGGAUGAAUGCCUUUCUGAGUUAGCUGUUUGCAGCUACAAAGCUAGGAGGUUACCCUUGAGUGUUUUGCGACUGGCUGUUCGAUCAGUGUAUGAACCAAAUGAGUAUCCCUCUAAUAUGUUACGACUAUACCAAUGGACACCUGACGAGUGCAUCCCAGAGUUCUACUGUGACCCUCAAAUUUUUUGUUCUAUUCACUCUGGCAUGACCAAUCUGGCGGUACCUUCAUGGGCACGUAGUCCAGAGGAGUUCAUUAAACUUCAUUGGGAUGCUUUAGAAAGUGAGCGGGUCUCAUGCCAAAUUCAUCACUGGAUUGACAUUACAUUUGGCUACAAAUUGUCUGGGCAGGCAGCUGUGGCUGCCAAGAAUGUUAUGCUACCUUCAUCAGAGCCCACAAUGCCAAGGUCGGUGGGGCGCCGACAGCUCUUUACUCGACCACAUCCAGUACGUCUAGUUUCUACAAUGAGGAAACAGAAUAGCACCAAUACAUCUGCUGUGAAUAAAUGCCGAUCAAAUGGAGUAGAGAGUGAGACACCUCUUCUUUUUGAAACUGCUUAUUUACAAGAACUGGAAGAAGCAUCUGCAUUUUCUGAACAUGCUGGUCACCUGAGUCCUCAGUAUUGCUAUGGUCCAGAAAACCUUGUGAAUGAUAUGUCUUCUGUUGAUGAGUUAGAGACUGAAAGUAUUGAUAAAAGUGAUUCUAAACUUGAAAUUAGUAAAAACUAUGGAUUUCCAUCUAAUAUUAAUUUAAGUUAUCUUCUUGAGCAUAUAGAGGUGGAGGAUGAAGGAUCCAUGGGAUACCAAGAGCUAUUGCUUUGGAGGCAACAAUCAUUGUAUUCAAAGAACUUUUCUGAAGAUAUUGGCAAGGACAUGUUUUCAAUUGGUUGUGUCUUGGCAGAACUUUAUUUGAAGAGGCCACUCUUCAAUUCAACCUCAUUACCUAUGUAUAUUGGAGGUGGUGUAUUGCCUGAAUCCAUGUUCAAACUUCCCCCACAUGCUAAAGUUCUUGUGGAAGCCUGUAUCCAGAAGGAUUGGAGAAGGAGGCCAUCAGCAAAAAGUGUUUUGGAAUCGCCUUAUUUUCCCACGACAGUCAAGUCAUCCUACUUGUUUAUUGCGCCACUUCAGCUACUAGCAAGUGAUGGGUCCCGUCUUCAAUAUGCUGCAAAUUUUGCAAAACAAGGAGCCCUGAAAGCAAUGGGUGCUUUUGCAGCUGAAAUGUGUGCCCCCUAUUGUUUACCUUUUGUGGUGAAUCCUCAGUCUGAGAUUGAAGCUGAAUGGGCUUAUGUAUUGCUGAAAGAUUUCAUAAAAUGUUUGACACCAAAAGCAGUAAAGACAUUGAUCUUGCCAGCUAUCCAGAAGAUUCUACAGACUCCAGGUUAUUCACAUUUGAAGGUAUCACUUCUCCAAGGUUCGUUUGUGCAAGAGAUUUGGAACCUCAUUGGUAAGCAAGCAUAUUUGGAAACAAUACAUCCUUCAGUUAUAUCAAAUUUGUAUGUUUCUCCUCAUAAGAGUUCAGCUGCUGUUGCUUCUGUGCUGUUGAUUGGCACAAGUGAAGAGCUUGGUGCACCUAUCACACUUAAUCAGGUUAAUUAUUCUAGAGUUUCGGCUUUGCAAUAUGGUGUAGGAGGCAUAAAAUAUUUGCAUGCUUGUGUAUGUGCAUUAACUCGCACACAAUAAAAUUCCACCCAAGUAUUCAAUUUCUUUUUGCAGUUAUAACGUAAUGAUAUUUGUGUGUUGAUCCAGACAAUCUUGCCUUUGAUUCACUGCUUUGGGAAAGGACUCUGUCCUGAUGGAAUUGAUGUGCUGGUUAGAAUUGGUAUUUUCAGUCUAUUACUUGGCAAAACCAAUGUCCUUUUUGGAAUUGGCAUUUUCAGUUUAUUAGCUACCUCUCUGCUGUGCUAUCUUUCAGGUGGUCUUUUGGGUGAGACCUUCAUUGUCAAACAAAUGCUACCGUUGCUUAAACAGGUCGUUCGUUCUUUUGUUGGUGUUUCGCAUAUGAAUAAGCCUGAGCCUGUGCAGAGUUGGAGUGCUUUAGCCCUAAUUGAUUGUCUGAACACAUUAGAUGGUCUAGUUGCACUUUUGCCAAGGGAGUUAGUUGUAAAGGAGCUGAUUGAAGAUAAAAGUUGUUUACAUGUUACUGUUCUUAUGCAGACGAAAUUGGAAAUUUCAGUGCUUCAGGUGGUCCAAACUUCUACACUGUUCUAUUAAUCUUCCAGCCUUUUUCUUGCUUGAUUUUUGAAGGUUGCUGCUACGACUCUCAUGGCAGUUUGUCAACGGGUUGGACCAGAAUUAACAGCGUUACAUGUUCUGCCACAACUUAAAGAGCUAUUCGAUGAGCUUGCUUUCUCACAGGAAACUGCAAAUGGUUCUGGCACUUUUGUCAGAAACUUGAGGAUUUCCAAAGCCAAAGUAGAUGGGGAGGCUCAAAUUGAAAGCCGAAUGGACCUUGUGUUACUUCUGUAUCCAUCAUUUGCAUCUCUUCUUGGGAUUGAGAAACUUCGCCAGUGCUGUGCCACUUGGUUGCUUCUUGAGCAAUUUCUUCUGCGGUGUCAUAAUUGGAAGUGGGAAUAUUCAGGAGAAUCAUCUAGAAGUGGAGCAGAAAAUAUAACUGCUAAAAGGCCUGCUUUUAACAAGAGCUCAACUUCUGAGUACAAUCCUGCUAAGCUGUUGCUUAAUGGGGUUGGGUGGUCAGUUCCACAAUCACAAGGAAUUAAAGGUUCCAAAAACUUGAUACCUCAAAGACGGUUAGAUGGCAUUCAUCAGAAUUCAGUUGAAAGUCAUGUAGCCUUGAACCUUUUGAAGUGUGAACCAUGGUUUUGGUUUCCCAGUCCAGCUGACAGCUGGGAAGGGCCUGAUUUCCUUGGGCGUGUUGGGAGUCUAAAAGAUGAACUUCCAUGGAAGAUUAGAGCAUCUAUUCUAUAUUCAAUCCGUGCACAUCAUGGAGCAUUAAGAUCUUUAGCUGUUAGCCAAGAUGAAUGUAUGGUUUUUACUGCAGGAAUUGGCCCAGGGUUCAAGGGAACUGUUCAAAAGUGGGAACUUUCAAGAAUAAAUUGUAUGUCUGGCUAUUAUGGUCAUGAGGAGGUUGUGAACGACAUUUGUGUAUUGUCAUCUAGUGGAAAGGUAGCAUCUUGUGAUGGAACUAUUCAUGUUUGGAAUAGCAGAACAGGGAAAUUAGUGUCACUUUUUGCUGAACAAUCAGUGGAUUCUACACAUCUAUCAAGCCCUUCAUCCUCUGCAUCAAAAAUUAACGUUGAUCAUCCAAAUAUGCUGAACUCCAAUACACUAUCAAGUGGAUUAUUGACUAGCGCAUUUGAUGGGAGCUUGUACACUUGUAUGCAGUACUUAGAAUCUCUUGAAAUGCUUGUAGUUGGCACUGGAAAUGGUUCUCUGAGAUUUAUUGAUGUUGCCCAGAGUCAAAAGCUUCAUCUUUGGAGGGGUGAAUCUAUGGAGUCAACUUUUCCUUCUCUCGUCUCUGCAAUAUGCUCAUGUGGAUCUGACAAAACUCCUGCUGAUGGAACUCUUGCUUCACCAUCUUGGAUUGCAACUGGACUAAGUUCAGGUAAUUGCAGGUUAUUUGAUUUGAGAAGUGGAAAUGUUAUUGCCUUUUGGAGGGCUCAUGAUGGAUAUGUGACAAAGUUGGCUUCACCAGAGGACCAUUUACUUGUUUCCAGUUCUCUUGACAGGACUCUGCGAAUUUGGGACCUGAGAAGGAAUUGGCCGCCACAGCCCACAAUUUUUAAAGGCCAUACAGAUGGGGUAUCUGGUUUCUCUGUGUGGGGUCAAGAUGUUAUUUCGAUUUCCAAAAAUAAGAUUGGGCUUUCCACCUUGUCCAGAUCUGCUGAAGAAGAUGGGCAGCAACAGAUUGUGCCUCAGAAGCUAUAUGCAGCUGUUCAUGGAAUGAAAAAUUUGUCAGUGUUAUCAAGUAUAGAUAUUCUACCUUUCUCACGUUUGUUUGUUGUUGGAACCGAAGAUGGUUAUUUGAGAGUAUGCUGUUAGAUGUGCCUUGAUGCAGAAAAAGAGUUAAAUAGUUUUUGUAAUUGUGUGGCUGUAAGUUAUAUUUUACUUUUUAAUUGAUAAUCUCAUGUGCAAAUUUUGUAAAUGGAUUUGAAUUCUUUUACCAUGCUUUGAGAUGAAGCAAGAUUCUUUUUGUUUCGAUUGGAAGCUGCAAACCCAUUGUUGAUGUGAGGUUGUCACUGCUGUCUCCAACUUGUCCUUCAGAAUAAUGGAAAACCAAUUGCUGAAAGAAAGUAGUUCAUCAUUUGACAUGACAAGACAUUUUGGUUAGGGCCUUUGGGCAUUUCCAGACGUGUAUGCCUCUCCGUUGCCCUCUGUACAUUUCUGUUCUGCUUAUUUGUUCAGAUUGAUUAUUUUGAAAAUUCCAUAUUCACCUUUAUGGCCUAAUAGAAAUCAAAAGUAUCUAACAUGAGAAAAGAAGGGAAAAUACUUUGUUAAUCAAAUGAAGAAUCAAUCAGACAGUUUGGCCCUCUAUUACAUCGAGGCCUG
rnacentral:misc_RNA from 1 species